rnacentral:rRNA from 1 species
UACGUAGGGUGCAAGCGUUGUCCGGAAUUAUUGGGCGUAAAGAGCUCGUAGGCGGUCUGUUGCGUCGGCUGUGAAAACCCGGGGCUCAACUCCGGGCCUGCAGCCGAUACGGGCAGACUAGAGUUCGGCAGGGGAGACUGGAAUUCCUGGUGUAGCGGUGGAAUGCGCAGAUAUCAGGAGGAACACCGAUGGCGAAGGCAGAUCUCUGGGCCAUUACUGACGCUG